rnacentral:ncRNA from 1 species
AUAACCGCUAUGAACAAAACGAGUAGUAGGGCUUUUAUUCUAGAGACUUCGUGGAUGGUGCAAACGAAGAUAAGAAACCUAUGAACGCUAUUUUGGGAGCACAAGGUCUGUCGGCCGUAACGACGAUAAAUGAGUGCUGGGGAUUCCUCAGAACUAAGGUGGUACCGCGUAUUCAUACGUCCUUAGA